CCUACGGGGUGCAGCAGUGGGGAAUAUUGCACAAUGGGCGCAAGCCUGAUGCAGCCAUGCCGCGUGUAUGAAGAAGGCCUUCGGGUUGUAAAGUACUUUCAGCGGGGAGGAAGGUGUAGUGGUUAAUAACCACAGCAAUUGACGUUACCCGCAGAAGAAGCACCGGCUAACUCCGUGCCAGCAGCCGCGGUAAUACGGAGGGUGCAGGCGUUAAUCGGAAUUACUAGGCGUAAAGCGCACGCAGGCGGUCUGUCAAGUCGGAUGUGAAAUCCCCGGGCUCAACCUGGGAACUGCAUUCGAAACUGGCAGGCUAGAGUCUUGUAGAGGGGGGUAGAAUUCCAGGUGUAGCGGUGAAAUGCGUAGAGAUCUGGAGGAAUACCGGUGGCGAAGGCGGCCCCCUGGACAAAGACUGACGCUCAGGUGCGAAAGCGUGGGGAGCAAACAGGAUUAGAUACCCUCGUAGUC
rnacentral:rRNA from 1 species